rnacentral:rRNA from 1 species
CCUACGGGAGGCAGCAGUGAGGAAUAUUGGUCAAUGGGCGCGAGCCUGAACCAGCCAAGUAGCGUGAAGGAUGACUGCCCUACGGGUUGUAAACUUCUUUUAUAAAGGAAUAAAGUGAGGCACGUGUGCCUUUUUGUGUGUACUUUAUGAAUAAGGAUCGGCUAACUCCGUGCCAGCAGCCGCGGUAAUACGGAGGAUUCAAUCGUGAUCCGGAUUUAUUGGGUGUAAAGGGAGCGUAGAUGGGUUGAUAAGUCAGUUGUGAAAGUUUGCGGCUCAACCGUAAAAUUGCAAUUGAUACUGGCAGUCUAGAGUACAGUUGAGGUAGGCGGAAUUCGUGGUGUAGCGGUGAAAUGCUUAGAUAUCACGAAGAACUCCGAUUGCGAAGGCAGCUUACUAAACUGCCACUGACAUUGAUGCUCGAAAGUGUGGGUAUCAAACAGGAUUAGAUACCCCGGUAGUC